rnacentral:rRNA from 1 species
UAUGGAAAAGCAAAUGUAGGCAUGAGUAACGAUAAUGCGGGAGAGUAACCCGCACACCGCAAGACCAAGGUUUCCUGAUCAACGCUAAUCGGAUCAGGGUUAGUCGGGUCCUAAGGGUAAGCCGAACGGCGAUCUCGAUGGAUAAUCGGUUAAUAUUCCGAUACUAACAUAUACCUCGAUGGAGAGACGAAGGAACGUAAGUGCCGCCACCUGACGGAAUAGGUGGUUAAAGGGCGUAGGUAUAGGGGCAGAUUAAGAGUUAGUCCUUGCUGAAACCUGACAGUACAGAGAGCCUACGGGCAAUUUGAUAGAGCACCCAAGUCGACUUCCGAGAAAAUCUUCUAAGUUAUAGUAUAUGUUACCCGUACCGUAAACCGACACAGGUGGUCGAGGAGAGUAUCCUAAGGUGCUCGAGUGAAUCACGGUUAAGGAACUAGGCAAAUUAACCCCGUAACUUCGGGAAAAGGGGUCCCUAUGAAAGUAGGGCGCAGCGAAGAGGUCCAGGCGACUGUUUAUCAAAAACACAGGGCUCUGCAAAUUCGAAAGAAGACGUAUAGGGCCUGACACCUGCCCGGUGCUGGAAGGUUAAGAGGGGAUGUCAUCGCAAGAGAAGCAUUGAAUCGAAGCCCCAGUAAACGGCGGCCGUAACUAUAACGGUCCUAAGGUAGCGAAAUUCCUUGUCGGGUAAGUUCCGACCUGCACGAAUGGUGUAACGAUCUGGACACUGUCUCAACCGUGAGCUCGGUGAAAUUGUAGUCCCGGUGAUGAUGCCGGGUACCCGCAACGGGACGAGAAGACCCCGUGAACCUUUACUAUAGCUUAACGCUGAAUUUGGGUACACAAUGUGUAGGAUAGGCCGGAGGCUUUGAAGCGGGCACGCCAGUGUUCGUGGAGCCGACGUUGAAAUACGGCCCUUUGUGUAUUUGAGUUCUAACCCUGCGAAGGGGACACCGUUUGGUGGGUAGUUUGACUGGGGUGGUCGCCUCCAAAAGCGUAACGGAGGCUUCCCAAGGUACCCUCAGCACGAAUGGUAACCGUGCGCGGAGUGCAAUAGCAUAAGGGUGCUUGACUGUGAGACAUACAAGUCGACCAGGUACGAAAGUAGGGUAUAGUGAUCCGGUGGUUCUGCGUGGACUGGCCAUCGCUCAAAGGAUAAAAGGUACUCCGGGGAUAACAGGCUGAUCGCCGCCAAGAGCUCAUAUCGACGCGGCGGUUUGGCACCUCGAUGUCGGCUCGUCACAUCCUGGGGCUGGAGAAGGUCCCA